UCCGGUUUGAAACCGGCGGUCCCGGUAGACAUAGUAACUACCAGCGAGGGUUGCGCUCGUUGCGGGACUUAACCCAACAUCUCACGACACGAGCUGACGACAGCCAUGCAGCACCUGUCACUCGGUUCCCGAAGGCACCAAGGCAUCUCUGCCAAGUUCCGAGGAUGUCAAGGGGUGGUAAGGUUCUUCGCGUUGCAUCGAAUUAAACAACAUGCUCCACCGCUUGUGCGGGCCCCCGUCAAUUCAUUUGAGUUUUAGCCUUGCGGCCGUACUCCCCAGGCGGAGAACUUAUCGCGUUAGCUACGCCACUAAACCCUCAUGGGGUCCAACAGCAAGUUCUCAUCGUUACAGCAUGGACUAC
rnacentral:misc_RNA from 1 species